UUUUUAUUAAAAAAAAUUGAUUUGAUUCAUUUAAAUUCAUUUUUGAUCAAAAAAUAUCCAAGGUUUUUUUGCCAUUUGCAUUUUAAUUGUGAAAAUCCUAAUUUGCUUACUAUUUUGUGCUUUCUCAUUGUCCAUUGGAUCAAAAUGAUCAAGGGUUACCAAUCAAUACAUACAUUUCACUUGAAUCACUUUCCAUAUCCAUCUCCCUCAUCCAAUAAAAAUUCAAGGAAUAAAAAUAAUUUUAAAAAAGGAAAGAAAAGUGAAAAAGAAAAAAUGUGUACACUCACUCACAACAUUUGGCAGCUAGCGCCAAAAUGCAUCUUAUACCCAAACUCUAUCUCAUAAAAAAAACGAAAAAAACGAAAAGAGAUAGAAGAUAAAACAAUUUUUCUCAAAUAGAAAAGGCCAAACAAGGCCUUGAAGGAACUCCUCACAUUCCCCCUCAUCUCUCUCUCUCCUCUGUCUCUCUCUCACACUCUCUCUCUCUCUCUCUCUCUCUCUCGGUAAUCCCUCUUCAUUCUCUCAGAAAAAUCUCCUCUUCUUUCCAUCGAAAACCACUUCCCCUUUUUCAUUUCCUCCAACCUC
rnacentral:lncRNA from 1 species